UGGCGGACGGGUAAGUAAUGUCUGGGAAACUGCCUGAUGGAGGGGGAUAACUACUGGAAACGGUAGCUAAUACCGCAUAACGUCGCAAGACCAAAGAGGGGGACCUUAGGGCCUCUUGCCAUCGGAUGUGCCCAGAUGGGAUUAGCUAGUAGGUGGGGUAACGGCUCACCUAGGCGACGAUCCCUAGCUGGUCUGAGAGGAUGACCAGCCACACUGGAACUGAGACACGGUCCAG
rnacentral:rRNA from 1 species